rnacentral:rRNA from 1 species
CAGUCGCCACGGUAAUACGGAGGGGGCUAGCGUUGUUCGGAAUUACUGGGCGUAAAGCGCACGUAGGCGGCUUUGUAAGUUAGAGGUGAAAGCCCGGGGCUCAACCCCGGAAUAGCCUUUAAGACUGCAUCGCUUGAACGUCGGAGAGGUGAGUGGAAUUCCGAGUGUAGAGGUGAAAUUCGUAGAUAUUCGGAAGAACACCAGCGGCGAAGGCGGCUCACUGGACGACUGUUGACGCUGAGGUGCGAAAGCGUGGGGAGCAAACAGGAUUAGAUACCCCUGUAGUCCCUGUCUCUUAUAC